UACGUAGGGUGCGAGCGUUGUCCGGAAUUAUUGGGCGUAAAGGGCUCGUAGGCGGUUUGUUGCGUCAGGAGUGAAAAACUCGGGGCUUAACCCCGAGCCUGCUUCUGAUACGGGCAGACUAGAGGUAUGCAGGGGGAGAACGGAAUUCCUGGUGUAGCGGUGAAAUGCGCAGAUAUCAGGAGGAACACCGGUGGCGAAGGCGGUUCUCUGGGCAUUACCUGACGCUGAGGAGCGAAAAGUGUGGGGGAGCGAACAGG
rnacentral:rRNA from 1 species